UUUGGGCUUCAGAAAUGUUUGUCACAAACCUGCUGUGGAUCAGUGAACUUCAGGCUUGAAAACAGCAUCCAGCACGUUGACUAGUUUCUUCUCUUCUUUAAAUCCACUCGUUUCUUCUUGCUGAUCUGCGAUCUGUUUGUUUCUACCAACUCAAAUAUCUCGGCUUCAUUAGCAGC